rnacentral:lncRNA from 1 species
GGCUUCAUAGUCAUAAGAUGAAGACUUUCUUAUUCUUUUAAAUUGCUUAUUCUGCAGCUGUUUGAGAUAAUAUUCCCAGCGACUAGGGAAAUCUCGUAGUAAUGCACCUAUCAAGGAUAUCACAAGAGGAGAACCUUUGCAUUCUGUUACAAUGCAGCUGGCUUGUUCUGGCAGUUCUGAUAUUUUCAUAUUCACAAACAGGGCUAAAACUUCCAGUCCUUUCUCAUGUGUUAGUCCACUUUCCACGUGAAUCUCAUAUUUAUUGCCAGACACAGCAUCUGUCACACUCCUAU